AUACGGAGGAUCCGAGCGUUAUCCGGAUUUAUUGGGUUUAAAAGGUGCGCAGGCGGCCAUUUAAGUCAGCGGUUAAAUCGUGGGGCUCAACCCCAUUCUGCCGUUGAUACUGGGUGGCUUGAUUGCGGUCGAGGUUGGCGGAAUUCGUUGUGUAGCGGUGAAAUGCAUAGAUAUGACGAAGAACACCGAUUGCGUAGGCAGCUGACCAGAUCGCAAAUGACGCUCAUGCACGAAAGUGCGGGGAUCGAACAGGAUUAGAUACCCUGGUAGUCCGCACAGUAAACGAUGAAUACUUGUUUUCGGCGAUAUAAUGUCGGAGGCAAAGCGAAAGCGAUAAGUAUUCCACCUGGGGAGUACGCCGGCAACGGUGAAACUCAAAUGAAUUGACGGGG
rnacentral:rRNA from 1 species